rnacentral:rRNA from 1 species
CGCGUAGGCGGCUAUUCAAGUCAGAUGUGAAAGCCCGCGGCUCAACCGCGGAAGUGCAUUUGAAACUGUGUAGCUUGAGUACUGGAGGGGGUAGUGGAAUUCCCGGUGUAGAGGUGAAAUUCGUAGAUAUCGGGAGGAAUACCGGUGGCGAAGGCGACUACCUGGCCAGAUACUGACGCUGAGGUGCGAAAGCGUGGGGAGCAAACA